AAUAAAAGGGAAACCAUGGAUAUCGUCUGGGAAUGUAUAAUCUUCUUGGAAAAUAAGACAGGCACCCAUGAAACAUUUACAACCAAAUAAGGUGGUUUGUAAACUUUAUGUUUUAAUGAGUGAUACAAACAGUGAAUGCUGGCAGAAUUCAGAGAAAGAAGAAAUCUGUGUUGGUAGAGUGACAGGCAAGCAUAAACACCAUCAUUAGAAAGGCAAAGGAGAAAAGAGGGCAUCCACUGGGUGGAAUAAGACCAGAUCCUGUUUUGGUCAGCAGAAUUCUGACCAGAAAACAAGUGCUGCUGGUCUCCUACCUCCAUUUGAUAAGCUGGAGUGCAAUGGCAUAGUCAUGUCUCACUGCAACCUUGCUCUCCCAGGUUCAAGAGAUUCUUCCACCUCAGCCUCCCAAGUAGCUGGGACUACAGGUAGACAUUGUUGAAGGAUACCUCAAAGUACCCAGAAGGACAGGAGGAAUUGCAGAACCUCAGGCUGGAGGGUAUCCCUCAAAACGAGCAAGACACAGGUCCAAGAGAGAAGGGGGUUACUAAUCAAGGCUGAUGGGAAGAUCUCAGGGGAAUUGUGCUCAACCAGAAGACGGAGAGGCAGAGAGAGCUCUGCGACUGGAUGCAAGCCAAGAUCCUAGAUGACUCAAUUUUUCACUCUAUCAGAUGAAGACAAUACUUGCCAUCUCCCAAAUAAAGGUUAUGAGGAUUAAUCUGUCCAUAAUGCAUUUGGAGAUCCUUGCAAUAAAGAUUAAAACCAUGUAUAAAAUUUACUAUAUUUUAUAGGUGUGAGUUUUCAAGAUCAGUUAUCUUGAAACUGUUUAUUCCCUAAGAAUUGGGCCUGCAGUUUAAUAUCCUAUGACAUGAAAUACAUGGUUCAAUCUUAGUUAGGGAUCCACAGUCUUCAAUAACUAGGCUUCUGUUGGUAUAGUUAAUUAAGAGAGAUGAUAGCAAUUCUCCACUUACUAUUUUUGCCUGCAUUUAUCCUUCCUGAAAUAUGGUUGAAAUUUAAAACAUGGAAGCUGGUUACUACUUACUCCUAGACACCAUCCUAGAAGUAGCACAAGAUGGGUCAUACGGCUGAUUUAAAAUCUAGAAUAUAAAUGUGACAUAAAAUGUAGGAUUAAUAUUUCAAAAAAUACACCUGUCCUAGCCAAGGAUACUUUUUUCCUUAAUUAAAAAUGAUAUCGUUAACAUUACAGUUUACUGAUUAAAUGCCAUUUACAUAUUAGUAUUUGCCUAUUAGCAUUAGGAAGAAAAUACCUUCUAACAAUUCACAUCUGCCUCUUCUCUAAACUCAUUAACAAUUCCUAUUCACCAUAUUGUAAAGACAUUUACUUUCAAGAUUUCAGGCUUUAAUAGGCCAGGCAUGGUGGCUCACCUCUGUAAUCCCAGCACUUUGGGAGGCCGAGAUGGGAGGGUUGUGUGAGGCCAGGAAUUUCAGCAAUAUAGGGAGACCCCCAUCUCUACAAAAAAUUAAAUACAAUUUAAAAAUUAACCAGGCGUGGUGGCAUAUGCCUGGGGUCCCAGCUCCUUGACAGAGGAUAAGGUGGAAGGAUCGCUUGAGCCUGGGAGGUCUAGGCUGUGCUGAGCCAUGAUCACACCACUGCACCAGCUUGGGCAACAGAGCAAGACCCCAUCUUAAAAAAGAAAUUAAUGGUUUAAAAAAUAGCUUCAUGACUCAAGUCACUGCAGCUUCAGAGUUGUUUUAGCUUUUAGAUAGAUAGAAGUAUUUUAGCCUUUCCCAUCCUGUGUGCAAUUUAACAGCAUCCAUGAGUGUAUUUAACAAUAUUACUUUUCACCCAAAUUCUCCUAUUCAUUUUUUAAAUUCACUUAUUUUCACUUAUUAUUAUUCAUUCAACAAACAUUUAUUAAAUGCCUACCUACUAUGUGCUGAAGCUUUGCUGAGCGAAAAGAUGCAAAUAAAACAUUAUCCCUGCCUUCAAAGAAAUUCAUUGUAUAGUAGGCAAGACAUAGAAGGAAAUAUGUGUUUCUAAUUCAGUAUUUUUUAAAUCAACAAUUCAAAAAAAAAUUAAAUGAGUUUUGUAGCAUCCAUGGUUUUGUAGUGUGAUCAUG
rnacentral:lncRNA from 10 species